GUCGAACAGCAGCACAGGGAGCUUGCUCCCGGGUGGCGAGUGGCGCACGGGUGAGUAAUACAUCGGAACGUGUCCUGUUGUGGGGGAUAACUGCUCGAAAGGGUGGCUAAUACCGCAUGAGACCUGAGGGUGAAAGCGGGGGAUCGCAAGACCUCGCGCAAUUGGAGCGGCCGAUGCCCGAUUAGCUAGUUGGUGAGGUAAAGGCUCACCAAGGCGACGAUCGGUAGCUGGUCUGAGAGGACGACCAGCCACACUGGGACUGAGACACGGCCCAGACUCCUACGGGAGGCAGCAGUGGGGAAUUUUGGACAAUGGGGGCAACCCUGAUCCAGCCAUGCCGCGUGCAGGAUGAAGGCCUUCGGGUUGUAAACUGCUUUUGUCAGGGACGAAAAGGACCGUGUUAAUGCCAUGGUCUGCUGACGGUACCUGAAGAAUAAGCACCGGCUAACUACGUGCCAGCAGCCGCGGUAAUACGUAGGGUGCAAGCGUUAAUCGGAAUUACUGGGCGUAAAGCGUGCGCAGGCGGUUCUGUAAGACAGAUGUGAAAUCCCCGGGCUCAACCUGGGAAUUGCAUUUGUGACUGCAGGACUAGAGUUCAUCAGAGGGGGGUAGAAUUCCAAGUGUAGCAGUGAAAUGCGUAGAUAUUUGGAAGAACACCAAUGGCGAAGGCAGCCCCCUGGGAUGCGACUGACGCUCAUGCACGAAAGCGUGAGGAGCAAACAGGAUUAGAUACCCUGGUAGUCCACGCCCUAAACGAUGU
rnacentral:rRNA from 1 species